GGAAGGAUAGAGCAGGGUCUUUGAAAAAAAUUCCUCUUCUAAAUAUUCUUUCCUAGUUUUGUGAUUUUUAGGCAAGUUGUUUAACCUCUCUAUAUCUCAGUUUCCACAUUUCUGAGACACAAAUAAUACGAUCACUGGUCCUCUCGGGCAAUGGGUCUUUAAGGUUGAAGGGUCAGUCUGCAACUAAAAUGGGAAUCCAUUUGGGCUGAACUUACAUCUGAAAGCCCAGCCCUGGCACCUGGCAAUACACAGCAUUUGUUGAGUGACUAACUGACUGACUGAAGCGUACUGAAAGGCCCACUGCAGAGACUGGCUGGAAUGGUCUGAUGAGUGGAGGAGGUGUGGCUGUUGAGAAAAGAAGAAACCAGAGAAGGGACAUCUAGCUUCCUUCCUUUAAGGUAUGGCCUUAACAUGGGACUACACUGCUUUCUUGUUCCCCAUUGAAAACGGUAAAAAUAACAGGGAAAAAUAGACACUAGAGUAAUGAAAUGAAGUCAAGCACAUACAGUAAAUACUAAAAUGGUAAUAAACAUUCUGCUAAAUGAUAAGAUUUCUUUUCAAGGACUGGUGAAAUCUGUUUAUUAUAAUGAAGAUGACAGAAACCAACCUACCAUGACCUGUUCUGCCAAGGUGGCUGUGUGGGAGUUCUGGAGCAGGAUUGUUUCUGAGGGACGGCACUGAAAGCAGGCCAAGUCAGAGGGAGGACUCAGUUUGGGGAGCUGAGGGCAGAGUGUCCUGGGGCUCCCCCUUGGGGAGAGAGGCCAGCUAGGCUACCAUCAGGGAAGCUGACAUUCCACUGACUUCUCCCCAUCCUUCCUCCCUUCUACUCACUAUCCCUCUUACCUGCACCCCACCCAGACCCACAGCUUAAUGAGCCACCUCACAGCCCUGAAGAAACUCAGUCCUCCCCUACCUGGCAUUCUCCCUCAUUACUGCCUCAAAAUUCCUGCAGAUCUUGACAAGGGACACCUUCUACAGGCUGUGAAGGGACGCCUUCAACAUGCCGUGAAGGGACGCCUUCUACAUGCCGUGAAGGGAUAUCUUCUACAUGCCCAAGAAACUGCUGCUUCAUCAAGUAAAUGCACUCUGGAAGAGGCAUGCGUUGCAAUCAAUUGAAUUAACAACACCCACCUUAUCCCCACCGAAGAUAAGCUUCGUGAGGGCCAGGAUUUGUGCCUGUUUUCUUUACUAUUUGUCUCUACUAAUUAGAACAGUACCUGGCUUAAUAAAUACUUGUUGAAUGAAUAUUUCUAGAAAAUG
rnacentral:lncRNA from 1 species